CUUUUUAUUAAAAUUAAUAAAUUAAUAUAAAAUA
rnacentral:tRNA from 1 species